GACGAACGCUGGCGGCGCGCCUAACACAUGCAAGUCGAACGAGCGAGAGAGAGCUUGCUUUCUUGAGCGAGUGGCGAACGGGUGAGUAACGCGUGAGGAACCUGCCUCAAAGAGGGGGACAACAGUUGGAAACGACUGCUAAUACCGCAUAAGCCCACGACCCGGCAUCGGGUUGAGGGAAAAGGAGCAAUCCGCUUUGAGAUGGCCUCGCGUCCGAUUAGCUAGUUGGUGAGGUAACGGCCCACCAAGGCGACGAUCGGUAGCCGGACUGAGAGGUUGAACGGCCACAUUGGGACUGAGACACGGCCCAGACUCCUACGGGAGGCAGCAGUGGGGAAUAUUGCACAAUGGGGGAAACCCUGAUGCAGCGACGCCGCGUGGAGGGAGAAGGUCUUCGGAUUGUAAACUCCUGUUGUUGAGGAAGAUAAUGACGGUACUCAACAAGGAAGUGACGGCUAACUACGUG
rnacentral:rRNA from 1 species